rnacentral:rRNA from 1 species
GAUGAACGCUGGCGGCGUGCCUAAUACAUGCAAGUCGAGCGAACAGACGAGGAGCUUGCUCCUCUGACGUUAGCGGCGGACGGGUGAGUAACACGUGGAUAACCUACCUAUAAUACUGGGAUAACUUCGGGAAACCGGAGCUAAUACCGGAGAAGAUAUUGAUCCGCAGGGUUCAAUGGAGAAAGACGGCUUUGCGGUCACUUCUAGAUGGAUCCGCGCCGCAUGAGCUAGUUGGUAAGGUAACGGGUUACCAAGGGUACGAUGCGUGGGCGAGCUGACGGGGUGAUCGGCCACACUGGAACUGAGACACGGUCCAGACUCCUGCGGGAGGCAGCAGUAGGGAAUCUUCCGCAAUGGGCGAAAGCCUGACGGAGCGACGCCGCGUGAGUGAUGAAGGUCUUCGGAUCGUAAAACUCUGUUAUUAGGGAAGAACAAAUGUGUAAGUAACUAUGCACGUCUUGACGGUACCUAAUCAGAAAGCCCCGGCUAACUACGUG